ensembl:lncRNA
CUGAUUCUCAGGCUGCAACAGACAAGCUUGCUUGUCACUUCCUUAUAGGGGACUGGAAUGCAAAAGUAGGAAGUCAAGAAACACCUGGAGUAACAAGCAAAUUUGGCCUUGGAAUGCAGAAUGAAGCAGAGCAAAGGCUAACAGAGUUUUGCCAAGAGAACACACUGGUUAUGGCAAACACCCUCUUCCAACAACACAAGAGAAGACUCUACACAUGGACCUCACCAGAUGGUCAACACUGAAAUCAGAUGGAUUAUAUUCUUUGCAGCCAAAGAUAGAGAAGCUCUAUACAGUCAGCAAAAACAAGACCAGGAGCUGACUAUGGCUCGGAUCAUGAGCUCCUUAUUGCCAAAUUCAGACUUAAAUUGAAGAAAGUAGGGAAAACCACUAGACCAUUCAGGUAUGACCUAAAUCAAAUCCCUUAUGAUUAUACAGUGGAAGUGAGAAGUAGAUUUAAGGGCCUAGAUCUGAUAGAUAGAGUGCCUGAUGAACUAUGGAAUGAGGUUCGUGACAUUGUACAGGAGACAGGGAUCAAGACCAUCCCCAUGGAAAAGAAAUGCAAAAAAGCAAAAUGGCUGUCUGGGGAGGCCUUACAAAUAGCUGUGAAAAGAGAAGCGAAAAGCAAAGGAGAAAAGGAAAGAUAAGCAUCUGAAUGCAGAGUUCCAAAGAAUAGCAAGAAGAGAUAAGAAAGCCUUCCUUAGCGAUCAAUGCAAAGAAAAAGAGGACAACAACAGAAUGGGAAAGACUAGAGAUCUCUUCAAGAAAAUCAGAGAUACCAAGGGAACAUUUCAUGCAAAGAUGGGCUCGAUAAAGAACAGAAAUGGUAUGGACCUAACAGAAGCAGAAGAUAUUAAGAAGAGGUGGCAAGAAUACAUAGGAGAACUGUACAGAAAAGAUCUUCACGACCAAGAUAAUCACGAUGGUGUGAUCACUCACCUAGAGCCAGACAUCCUGGAAUGUGAAGUCAAGUGGGCCUUAGAAAGCAUCACUAUGAACGAAGCUAGUGGAGGUGAUAGAAUUCCAGUUGAGCUAUUUCAAAUCCUGAAAGAUGAUGCUGUGAAAGUGCUGCACUCAAUAUGCCAGCAAAUUUGGAAAACUCAGCAGUGGCCACAGGACUGGAAAAGGUCAGUUUUCAUUCCAAUCCAAAGAAAGACAACGCCAAAGAAUGCUCAAACUACUGCAC